ensembl:lncRNA novel transcript
UGGGAAAUUAUAUUCAAAAUCUCCAUGAUCCUCUGUCCAUAGAGCUGCUGUUAAAUGAACACCUUGAUAUCUUCAUUCUUGGAGAGAAAUGAGCCAAGGAGGAAGACCAUCUAAAAAAUACCACUAGACAAUUUGUGCUCACUGGAGUGGUAUCUGCUGGGCAAAAGGUCUUUAGAAUGACUCGUGGAUUUUCUGGCAAGUGGCAAACCACACAAGUGCUAUGUCAGGCCAGGAAGACAGGUGCAGCCCUGUCAGUGUCAAAGAAGAACACUGGUAGCAGAAGAGCUAAGAGUGAAUGAAAAUUGAAUUAUCUUUAUUUCUAGGACUUGUCUAUUGAGAAACAACAGUGCUGGCAACCAUUUACUACCAACAAGAGGCAGUUCCAAGAGAAGAAUAUAAAAUAUGCUCUGCUCAAUCCCACAAAACUCAGAGUGUCUCACAAUGGCCAAUUUCUUAUUUUUACCCUGUCCAGAGACAAGGAAGGAUGUAUCAGGGAGCUGCUAGCCUCUGCGAUGAAUAACUUGAGUCAGGCUGCAACAUGUGAAAGAAUUCAGCUGAUCAGGAUUUAUAACACUAGCUGGAUUUUUUGCUUUCUUUGGGGUUCAUGAAGCGUGGUGUUGUGAGAUACCACAGGAUUCCCAGAAUAAAGUUACAUACCUAUUUCUCUUCCUUAUUUUUAUUUUUUUGGCACGUUCAUACCAUUUUAUUACCAACAUCGUUGGCAUCCCUGAGUAUGAGAGUUCAGAAGAAACUUAGAGGCUAUUGUCUGAUUCAAUCCUUGCAGCUUACAAAAAGAAAUGUGGGGAGCAGUCACUGUGUGACUAGCCUGAGGUCACUCAGGAAGUUAGAGGCAGAACUGCAGCCAGGGUCACCUCUCUUUACUGCUACUAGUGUGCUCUUUCUACUGCACCCUGAUCAUAAAACAUCUCCCAACCCAGGAACAAGGUCUACCGCAUAGGUGGUCACAGCAGCAUGAUCACUAUCUCAGUCAUCUGUACUCCUCCUUUGCUUUGACCAAAGACACAGGAAGGGACCUUUUGCCCCACAUAAAACACCUCUCAGAGGCUUGGCAACAACAACAGAUAAUAGAGAGCAUUGACCUAAGACCAACAUUUCAACCAUGGUGUCAAAACAAUAUUUUAUUUCAGCAAAGAAAAACUAUGUCACAAGUGGAUUAUUAUUACUAAUAAUCAGACUAGUGGUACUUGCGAAUGACUUGGUUUCAUACUCACACUUGGACAACUAUGCACACUGAGUAUAACUGACCUUAUGAGAACAUCAUUCUCACUAAGAUUAUGAUGUGCUUUCUCACGUGAGAACUGUACAUAAUAUUGUGUGUACCCUUGGGAGGAUGUCCUGCCUGUGAUGUUGUCUUUCAGGGGAAGAAGAAUGGUUGAGAAUUGAGGGUAUAUUAAACAUUUACUCCUCCAGAUUUUUCAAGAUUUCUGUUAAGCCAGAUCAGAAGAAAGCCAUCUAUUUGGAUUGCAUCACUCUAACCUGGAAAUACCAAUAUUUUCUAAGCAUGGCAAGUGUUUCCAAGCAUUCAGAAGUGGAGAGUGUGGGAAAUCCACUGCAGAAUGAGGUCUGCUUGUCAUCCUCUCAGUCUCAACUGCUCUCCCUCCUUCAUCGCUCUCUGUUUCAUUGACUUCAGUCCUAGAGUGGUCAGUAGAAGCAGUUAUCCAAUAGGAGAGGGGGUAAGUAAGGUGAAGACCGCUGGAAAGGAAAAGAAACCAAGAAUGACCCCUUCCCACAGCCUACAGAUGAAAGAGAAGGCUUGUAUUCAGGUAAUACUGAUGAAGAGAAUCCUCAAGACCUUUACACUCUGGGUCAGUUCCAAGAUGGCUGAGAAGCUGUUUAAAACAACCAAAAAACAA